CGGGAAAAGCUCAAAUUUGAAAUCUGGCGUCCUCAGGGCGUCCGAGUUGUAAUCUAUAGAGGCGUUUUCCGUGCCGGACCGUGUCCAAGUCCCUUGGAACAGGGUAUCAAAGAGGGUGACAAUCCCGUACUUGACACGACUACCGGUGCUCUGUGAUACGUCUUCUACGAGUCGAGUUGUUUGGGAAUGCAGCUCAAAAUGGGUGGUGAGUUCCAUCUAAAGCUAAAUAUUGGCGAGAGACCGAUAGCGAACAAGUACCGUGAGGGAAAGAUGAAAAGCACUUUGGAAAGAGAGUUAAACAGUACGUGAAAUUGUUGAAAGGGAAACGAUUGAAGUCAGUCGUGACCGAGAGGCUCAGCCGGCUCUGCCGGUGUAUUCCCCUCGGUCGGGUCAACAUCAGUUUUGUCCGGUGGAUAAGGGCGGUAGGAAGGUGGCACCCACGGGUGUGUUAUAGCCUGCCGUCACAUACACUGGGUGAGACUGAGGA
rnacentral:rRNA from 1 species